GAACGGUAGCAGGUCCUUCGGGAUGCUGACGAGUGGCGGACGGGUGCGUAACGCGUGGGAAUCUGCCCAAUAGUGGGGGAUAACCCGGGGAAACUCGGGCUAAUACCGCAUACUCCCUACGGGGGAAAGCGGGGGACCGUAAGGCCUCGCGCUAUUGGAUGAGCCCGCGUCCGAUUAGCUUGUUGGUGGGGUAAAGGCCUACCAAGGCGACGAUCGGUAGCUGGUCUGAGAGGACGACCAGCCACACUGGGACUGAGACACGGCCCAGACUCCUACGGGAGGCAGCAGUGGGGAAUAUUGGACAAUGGGGGAAACCCUGAUCCAGCAAUGCCGCGUGUGUGAAGAAGGCCUGCGGGUUGUAAAGCACUUUCGGCAGGAAAGAAAAGUCAUGCGCCAAUACCGCAUGACCUUGACGUUACC
rnacentral:rRNA from 1 species